GUAAUUGUUAUAAGAAUUUGAACCGACUAAAAUUUAAAAUAAAUAUUAGAAAAUAAAUUAAUGAAAUAAAAAUUUGAAAUGGGUAAGGGACGAUACCAAAUUUUUAGGAAAACUAAAAUCUAAAAGCUCUAUCAAAUAACUUUUGCAUGUUAGAACAAUUUUAAAAGUGAAUCUAGAUAGAUUAAUAAAUAAAUUAUUUUAUCAAACAACUGCCGUUAAGAUUCUCCUAAAAUAGUUUUGUAUGAUUUAAAAAGCAAUCCCAAAUAGGCCUUAAGUACCAAAUUGGUCAUCCCAUUCUAACCAACGUGGGACAAAGGUAUCUCAUACUACCUGAUUCCUAAUAGACUAUUAGUUAGACGAUGGUCCCCUCUGCACUCCGUUCUUAUUUGUUAGCAUAGUACAGUUCAAAUGGGUCUUUUUUUCGAUCACAACCACUCACUGUGAGUCAAAGUUCGUUAUUUUUAGUUGAAACAAUGUGAAGUAGGUAGGGUUUUGAUUUUGCAUGUCUAGAUCAUUGAAUUAGAACUUGGGGUAAUUAAGUUAUAGAAUAUAUUUUAAAGGCAGGUAAACAUUGUAUUAAUAAAUAUUAGCAUUUAAUCAGAUAGAACUUCAUGGACAAAAAAACUAAUCACAUUAUAACAUCUAGGAUGAAAUUGGAACUUGAAAGAUUCAAGGCCAAGGAUAUGCAAUUGAAAAUUUUAAAAGAUUCAAGAUAAAAGAAUGCAUGGUACAAAUAUUAAAGCAAAAUUUUAUAAUUAGCUAAAAGAAAAAAAAAAAGGAAAAAGAAAAUUUCAUUGGUGGAUGAAAAUAUACAUUUUUUGGAAGCCAUUGAGUCGACUUGUUGAGUUUAUUAAUGUCGCGCAAGCGCACACAUCAAAUUAUGAUAUAGUUAAAACGAUCUUGGUUGAGUAUCAUCCUCAAGGAAGAAUCAAUUUGAUAAUCUUUUAGCUAUUCAAAGAUUGUUCUAAUUUUUCUUAGGGGGACUGACUUAUGAUGAAAGUAAUAUCCUAAGAAAGCAAGUAAAGUGAUCAAAUAUAAACCCCGAACCCUAUUUUCCCUACAUAAGUAUAUUCAUUAAUAUUUUAAGUAUGUUAAGCAUGAGUUAAUGUUAUGUUCGUAGGGAAGGGCAUGAAGAUGGUCAAGGAUGAAAGGAAGAAAGCUCUAAGUGUUCAAAUAUAUGGCUCUCGGGUGGUAAUUCAGAGGGCAAUGGAUGAAGAAAAAUUGGUUAAGUAUGGAAGCCAAGAAUGGCCAUGCGUGGAAUUUUGAGACAUUGACGCAUGGAGCUUGGGGUGCGCGACAGCCAAGGUGUGUAGAGGUUAUUUGGAGCUGUGACGGGUGUGAGACCAUGCCAUGAAGAUGAGUGCGGUCGUGAGGUUGCCAUGUGUUAGCAUAGGCAAUGCAUUGAAUCAGCCCAUGCGAGGUUAGUUGGGUAAUGAUGUGUAAGGCAAGUGUGAUAGGCGAUGGGCAUGAUGAGGCGUUGGCUAAGCAUGAGUUGCGAGCAAGGAAGGCCUUAGGCCAGACGUUCGACGCAAGGUAUGCGAUGGCCAAGAAGGGCAUGCGGCCAAAAGAGGCAUGCGAUGGCCGAGAGGGGCAUGCAGCCAAAGAGGUAUGCGAUGGCACUUAGGCUAUACGAUGGCGCUGACAAGGGAGCUAGGCAAUGGGGUGAAGCCAUGCAUUGAUUGAAUGGUGGUCAGCAACUUAGUAACCUAUUAUAGUGGACCAACUGUCAGAAUUAAGGGAAUUAAUCCCACAUAGUGGUUAAUUUGGUAGCCUAAGAAUGCUUGAAGACAUGCAGAGCUUGGUAUAAAAGGGGAACUUCAGUUCAAAGGCUCAGUUUAAGCUCUUUACUUGUGCGAAUGAGGUGAUUCCAGUGCCAUUUGAAAGCUUGGUGAGCCUAGUUGAUGUUCUAAGGCUGUCGGAAGAAAUCUCUAUAGGAACCGAGUUGGAAACUGAAGAUUUUGCAAAAAGGCUAGGCUCUCGGGUGAAUCUGGGCCAAAGGUGGAAAUUGACAGAUUCUGGCCAAACCACGAGGAAUUCUGAACUCAAAUUUUAAGGCAUUUGCUUGGAUUGAGCAAGCAGGCAACUCACUAGGCUGACGUGCAUGCAAGGGCAAGGUUGAGCGCCAGCUUGCGUUGAGCUAUGCGUUGGGCUAUGCGGGCGUAUGCUGAAGGCUUGGACGCAUAGGGGGCAGUGUGUGCAUUGAUGUGUGGCUAAAGGGGUGCCUAUGACAUGUGAUUGGCGCAUGGGUAUGUGCGAUGGUGAUGUGUGUUGGCCGCAUAGCAAAGGCUUAAACUUCAAGGAAAUUUCUAAGUGUUGAAUGCAUAGCAAGGUAUAUGUUAAUAAUGAAAGCAUCUUAUGGUAGGCUGAAUUUGAGCUCAUUUAUGGAAGUUAACCUUAUAAGGAUGCCGGUGCUAGUAACUAAACAUGAUGUUCAUGUUCAUAGGAUUAACGCCAAUUGGAAGGGCUUAUCAACCCUAAAAAGAACGCCAAAGACUGUAGUGGUCAUCUCUCCAGAAGAUAACUGCGCUGCUGCUCUGCCACUCAAAGACUCCAACUUUAAGAAAAAUUUAGGUGUUUGUUUUGUUAAUAUCUGUACACGUGUCAUUCAUACAGAGAUUAGUUUAGUACUAUGCGACCCACUGAAUCUUGUGCUUGUAUAUAAGUUGUAUAUAUAUGUCGUAUAUGAAACCCUGUUGAUGUUAGAAGUGGUUAAGUUUUGGUUGUUCAGUGAAUGUUUACUUGUUUCUAGGGUUUCUAA